GCACGCACUAUUUGCCAGUAAGAGCCCAGCUCCAGGAGACAGCUGUGGCCACCAAACCAGACGUAUUGCCACCCAAAACAAACUCCAAUUAAGCUCUACCAGUGCUGGCUGUGCUAUGGACAACAGCAACAUUCCUUCAGUUGGAUGCUCAGACUUCCCAUGGGAGCACAGGGUGACAGAACAGUGGGGUGCAGCAGCUGUAGCAGAGCCUUCAGCAGCCUUCUGAAACGCUGUGCACCACUUUCCAGGCCAGCUCAGCUUCCUCUUAGAUCUCAUGCCCUGCCUGGGGCUCCAACAAGUUGUAUGGCCAGAUGCUGCCAAGCUGCAUGCACAACAAAAUAGCAGGAAAACAUCAAACAUUUACAUGUUUAUUAUAAUUACAAUUUACAUUACUCCAAAGAGCAGCCCCACUGCUAUGUUCUAAUUCUUAGCAAUAAAGUCCUACAAAAAUAAAUCCAAGCUUUUACAGUAACCUAAGUCAAUGCAUAACUAAAAAAUUCUAGCUAUGUACGGGGUUCAGUCAUCAAGGUGCUUUUUCAACAAAAUUCCCUACCAACAGAAAAGGGACACAUGCCUAUAGCAGUUUAACCCACUUAUUCAUGCAAACAAAUGUAACCCCUUCCCUCCCAGCCCCUCUCCCCACAUACAGAUUUUAAAAACAAACAAAAAAAAACCUAAACUAUUUACAGUAUGGGGGUACAGAGGAAAAAUUAAACAUGCCCAUCUGUUAAGCUUCAUUAUAUGGACUCCCCAUUCCUAGUUUAAUGAAAACAUUCCAUAGUGUUCCACCACAGUCUACUAGUGUACAGAAAACUGUUUGCAUUUAGUACUAUAUGAACAAGGUACAAAGCAAGGCAAGAAGCCGACGCUCCGGGCUCCUUGCCAGGCAGCCAAUUGCUGCCAGGGGCUCUUCACUCUGAGCACACAAACAGCAGCAGUGCCUGCUGCCCGUCCUGCUGGGGCACAGCACUGCCCUCCAUCACCCCCUGACCCUGCAGAACUCCGAGCCGUGGAGGAGUGCCCAGCACCCUUCAACUCGAGGGAGGCACAGCUCUGCAGGAGCCUGCGGUACCUCCGCAUUAGUACUGCCUCACAAACAGUCGUACAGUCAUUUUACACUACUACAUGAUCAACAAUCCAGUAUUCCCAAGUGACAAUACACAUAACUCCUCAGCACCAGGAGUCCAUCCUUUCAGAUACCAAGUGCUACUCCACACAUGCUGCUGAGUACAGUAAGACCAGCAGCACCAAAGAAUCCAUUUGGUUACUCAGAACAAACAAGUUAGCUGGUUUAUUUCAAGUGAGCUUUGGUUCCAUGUUAAAAUACCAUGAUUUAACUUCUUCAAGGGUUCAGAAAAGGAGUCUGACUUUAAGCUUAGACUAUAGCAGCCUUUGUGAGACCCGAAAGAAGAACCAUGUAAGUUAAUCUGCACUUAAAAAAACAAAAACAACAAACGAAAAGACACCCUGAAGAAGGUACCCCUGAACACAUUCCCUCUUCCAAAGAAUAUUCCAGCUGACAGUUGCUGGUCCAAAGUAAGUCCAGAAUAUAAGCAGUAGUACAUGAAGUUCUGUCAUUUGAGCUGAGACAGUAAACAAUAUGAACCAUUUUCCCACGUUAGUGCAGCAGUUGGUUGUUUUCUAUGUACAUUUUCAUCCUCUCAGGAGAGAUGCAAGAACCUGUGAAGUUACACUCUGCCAGUACCAGCUCUGUGAGUGGUUUGGUUCCUCCUUGCUGCCCCGCUACCCCUUCCACCUCGAAACCCACCACGAAAGCUGCGACCACGAAGGAACCGUCCCGACACUCCAAAUGUCUCAGUAUUGAGUUUCCUUUCUUCAGCCCAUGUGGUACGUCUAGAACUAGACUUCAGUUCUGAGGAGAUGUUGUCAAAGAAAGACUUGGAUUUAUCGUAAUAGCAGUUGGGUCCCAGAAGGUCCUCCUCUGCGUUACCAUCAUUGUUUUGAGUUGCCACUCCAGGGUCCCCUUUCUCUUCCUCUGUCUCUGCUUUGUCAUCUUUAAAGUUUAGCUUCUUCUUGAAUUCUUUGUCAAGUUCCUCUCUGUUGAAUUGUGCAUUUGCACUUUCAAAGUCGAAGUCGCCUUCAAACUUUAUUGUAUUUUCCUUCACAGUAGUUGGUCUGUUUUGUCCUCUAGAACGAUUUCUGGUUCUCCUGUUUCCCCUGUUUCCCGAUCUUCUCCUUUGAGGCCUUCUGUUUUCAUCAUUCACCUGCCCUUGGGUUUGUACAGGCGUUGCCGGAACUGCAUCAGCUGCCUUGGUGCUGCUCUGAGGAACCUGCCGUCCAUUGCGUUGAACCCCUGGAGUUACUUUCACUGGGAGUGGCUUCUGUGAAUUGAUGUUGUCAACGGGGCCAGUCUGGACAGCCUGCUCUACCAUGGGGCUUUUGCGGACAGGGUGAACGGAAGGGAAGCCAGCACCUGGAAAGAUUGCAAUGACUAAGUGCUCCUCAG
rnacentral:lncRNA from 1 species